ACUGAAUAGAUACCCAGGUAGUCCACGCCGUAAACGAUGAUGACUAGCUGUCGGGGCUCAUGGAGUUUCGGUGGCGCAGCUAACGCGUUAAGUCAUCCGCCUGGGGAGUACGGCCGCAAGGUUAAAACUCAAAGAAAUUGACGGGGGCUGCACAAGCGGUGGAGCAUGUGGUUUAAUUCGAAGCAACGCGCAGAACCUUACCAGCGUUUGACAUGGUAGGACGGUUUCCAGAGAUGGAUUCCUUCCCUUACGGGACCGUACACACAGGUGCUGCAUGGCUGUCGUCAGCUCGUGUCGUGAGA
rnacentral:rRNA from 1 species